rnacentral:rRNA from 1 species
UGCUCGACCGUUAACCUAGCUUGCUCCCCCCACAAACAAGCCGCCAGAGAACUACAAGUAAUCACUUCAAACUCCAAGGACUUGACGGUGUCCUGACACCCUAGAGGAGCCUGUCCUUUAAUCGAUACCCCACGUUAAACCUCACCCCCCUUUGCCAAUCCAGCCUAUAUACCGCCGUCGAAAGCCUACCUUGUGAAAGAACCCCAGUGGACAAAACAGUCACCCCCCCCUCACACGUCAGGUCAAGGUGUAGCUAAUAGGGGGGGAAGAGAUGGGCUACACUCUCUCUAACCCAGAGCCCCACAAGUGGCAUGAAACACACCCCGAAAGCAGGAUUUAGCAGUAAACUUAACAAGCAUUGUUAACUUGAAGCCCCGCCCCAGGACGCGUACAC